rnacentral:rRNA from 1 species
GUGUCAGCAGCCGCGGUAAUACGUAGGGCGCAAGCGUUAUCCGGAAUUAUUGGGCGUAAAGAGCUCGUAGGCGGUUUGUCGCGUCUAUCGUGAAAGUCCGAGGCUCAACUUCGGAUCUGCGGUGGGUACGGGCAGACUAGAGUGAUGUAGGGGAGACUGGAAUUCCUGGUGUAGCGGUGAAAUGCGCAGAUAUCAGGAGGAACACCGAUGGCGAAGGCAGGUUACUGGGCAGUUACUGGCGCUGAGGAGCGAAAGCAUGGGUAGCGAACAGGAUUAGAAACCCGAGUAGUCC